GCCCUGGUGGUCUAGUGGUUAGGAUUCUGUGCUCUUACUACUGCAGCCUGGGUUUGUUUCCCAGUCAGAGAA
rnacentral:tRNA from 1 species